rnacentral:rRNA from 1 species
UACCUGGUUGAUCCUGGCAGUA